UACGUAGGGUGCGAGCGUUGUCCGGAAUUAUUGGGCGUAAAGAGCUCGUAGGCGGUUUGUCGCGUCUGCUGUGAAAACCCGAGGCUCAACCCCGGGCCUGCAUUCGAUACGGGCAGACUAGAGUUCGGUAGGGGAGUCUGGAAUUCCUGGUGUAGCGGUGAAAUGCGCAGAUAUCAGGAGGAACACCGGUGGCGAAGGCGGGACUCUGGGCCGAUACUGACGCUGAGGAGCGAAAGCGUGGGGAGCAAACAGG
rnacentral:rRNA from 1 species